CCUAAGGUAGCGAAAUUCCUUGUCGGGUAAGUUCCGACCUGCACGAAUGGCGUAAUGAUGGGGGCGCUGUCUCCACCCGAGACUCAGUGAAAUCGAAAUCGCAGUGAAGAUGCUGUGUACCCGCGGCUAGACGGAAAGACCCCGUGAACCUUUACUAUAGCUUCACAGUGGACUUUGAACCUGUUUGUGUAGGAUAGCUGGGAGACUUUGAAGCAGUGACGCUAGUUACUGUGGAGUCGUCCUUGAAAUACCAGCCUGGCAUGUUUGAGGUUCUAACCUAGGUCCCUUAUCGGGAUCGGGGACAUUGUGUGGUGGGUAGUUUGACUGGGGCGGUCUCCUCCCAAAGAGUAACGGAGGAGCACAAAGGUACCCUCAGCACGGUCGGACAUCGUGCAACGAGCGUAAAGGUAGAAGGGUGCUUGACUGCGAGACCUACAAGUCGAGCAGGUGCGAAAGCAGGUCUUAGUGAUCCGGUGGUUCUGUAUGGAAGGGCCAUCGCUCAACGGAUAAAAGGUACUCCGGGGAUAACAGGCUGAUACCGCCCAAGAGUUCAUAUCGACGGCGGUGUUUGGCACCUCGAUGUCGGCUCAUCUCAUCCUGGGGCUGAAGCCGGUCCCAAGGGUAUGGCUGUUCGCCAUUUAAAGAGGUACGCGAGCUGGGUUUAGAACGUCGUGAGACAGUUCGGUCCCUAUCUGCCGUGGGCGUUGGAGAUUUGAGAGGAGCUGCUCCUAGUACGAGAGGACCGGAGUGGACGAACCUCUGGUGUUCCGGUUGUCACGCCAGUGGCAUUGCCGGGUAGCUACGUUCGGACGGGAUAACCGCUGAAAGCAUCUAAGCGGGAAGCCUCCCUCAAGAUGAGAUCUCCCUGGGAACUUGAUUCCCCUGAAGGGCCGUUGAAGACCACAACGUUGAUAGGCUGGGUGUGGAAGCGUUGUAAGGCGUGAAGCUAACCAGUACUAAUUGCCCGUGAGGCUUGACUAU
rnacentral:rRNA from 1 species